rnacentral:rRNA from 1 species
UACGAAGGGGGCUAGCGUUGUUCGGAAUUACUGGGCGUAAAGCGCACGUAGGCGGAUAUUUAAGUCAGGGGUGAAAUCCCGGGGCUCAACCCCGGAACUGCCUUUGAUACUGGGUAUCUCGAGUCCGAGAGAGGUGAGUGGAAUUCCGAGUGUAGAGGUGAAAUUCCUAGAUAUUCGGAGGAACACCAUUGGCGAAGGCGGCUCACUGGCUCGGUACUGACGCUGAGGUGCGAAAGCGUGGGGAGCAAACAGG